rnacentral:sRNA from 1 species
CCUGGUGGCGCGGCGGCCGGGCGGCUCCCCCUUCCUCCCGGCCCUGGCGUGGAGCAGAGGGACACGGGUUCCCACGCUGGCGCCCGGCGACCGGGUGGGGCUGCGGCCCAGCAGCUCCAUGGAGGACACCGGCGAGGACCCCACCACGUUCGCUGCCCACUCUCUUCCCAGUGACCCCCGUCUCUUGGCCACUGUGACCAGCGCAUACCUGGGCACACGAGUGUUUCACGACACGCUGCACGUGAGCGGCGUGUACAAUGGGGCUGGCGGGGACACGCACCGGGCCAUGCUGCCCAGCCCCCUCAACGUGCGGCUGGAGGCCCCUGCAGGGAUGGGGGAGCAGCUGACCGAGACCUUUGCCCUGGACACCAACACAGGCUCCUUUCUUCACACCCUGGAGGGCCCCCGCUUCCGGGCCUCCCAGUGCAUCUAUGCGCACCGCACGCUGCCCCACGUCCUGGCUUUCCGAGUGUCCAUCGCCCGCCUGGCCCCGGGGAGCGGGCCCAUCACGCUGCUCCUGCGGUCAACCUUCUCCCCAGAAAGCCCAGACCUGGACCUGCAUCAGGGCCCUGACUUCCAGGGAGCCCGGUAAGGAGGGGGCUGGAUUUGCGGCCAGGGAGUCCAGGGAGGGAGCUCAUCCCUGAGGCAUGGCCAUACUCUCACAGGUACCUGUAUGGCCACACCCUCACCCCUGAGCAGCCCGGGGGGCCACAGCAAGAGGUACACAUGCUGUGGACACCAGCACCCCCAGACCUGACCCUUGGGGAAGGUGAGGAGGAUAGGAUGUGGGACUUCCUGAUGGCGGUGGGCGGUAGCCAGGCUGAGGCUCAGGCCUGCCUCACUGAGGCCCUGCAGCUGCAGGCCAGGGGAGCUCUGUACACGGCUCAUGCACAGGCCUGGGCCCAACUCUGGGCAGAAUGCGGCUUGGACGUGGUGGGGCCCCUGCCGCUGCGCCAGGCCCUGCGUGGCUCCCUCUACUACCUGCUCAGUGCCCUGCCCCAGCCCAAGGCCCCAGGAUACAUCUGCCAUGGCCUCAGUCCUGGAGGCCUCUCCAAUGGGAGCCGUGAGGAAUGCUACUGGGGCCACGUCUUCUGGGACCAGGUGAGCACUGUACACCCAGCGCCAGCCACACGGCAGGCGACACGUGGAGGUCCACGGUCUCUGCCCUCCCUGGGAUCAGGGCUGUGGUUGAGGAAGCACAGGGACUGUGACAAAAGGGAAGAGGCCUGGACGGUGUGCAGGAGUUUGGUAGAGGAGUGAUCUAGGUGAGGGGAACGGAAGGCGCAGAGACCAGAGCUGAGAGGGCCUGAGAUACUUUCCAGGGCGUGGGGAGGGGCCCCCACCAAGGUGAGAAGGGCUGCAGGUCCAGAUCACCAGGGUUUGUAGACAGUAGUUUGGUGCUUGGAGUUUACCUGAGGGCCAGUAGAGCUCCAGGGACCUAUCAGGACGGGGACCUGUGGGGACUGGGAAGGCCUGUGGGGCUGCGUGGAGCCCGGUGCUGGAGGCCAACGGGGGUGACAGGGACACUGAGGGCACAGAGUGGAGGGGCAUGAUGGCUGCUGGGCGUGGAGGUGUCGAGACUGACUGCUGGGGCUGCUCCAUCGUUGUCUGAGCCUCCCGAUGCUGCUGUUGUGGCCGUUUCUUUGAUGAGGCUCCCAGAGGCCGAGUCAUUCACUGCAGGUUGGCCGGCCUGAGGCUGCCCAUGCCCAUAUUCCGGCUGGAGCCUCUGAGGCCACACAAACGCCGGCUGGGGAGGCGAAGUGUGGAGCUGAGGACCAGAACUCCAGGAGCGUCUGGGCUGGAGACAGAACUGGGUGGGCAGGUGGGGAGGGCCUGCAGAUCUGAGUGGGCAGCAGAGGAGGAACCCAGAAGACGCCAGCAAUGGAGCUCUGCCGGGGUGGAAUAUGGCCAGGAGGGGUGGGAGCAGUGACGGCCUGUCCGGCGCUAGAACGAGGGACCGUGCUCUCAGGACCUCUGGAUGUUCCCGAAUAUCCUGAUGUUCCACCCAGAAGCCGCCAGGGCCAUCCUGGAGUACCGCAUCCGCACGCUGGGCGGGGCCCUGGAGAACGCCCAGAACCUGGGCUACCAGGGAGCCAAGUUUGCCUGGGAGAGUGCAGGCUCCGGCCUAGAGGUUUGCCCUGAGGACAUUUACGGAGCCCAGGAGGUCCACGUCAAUGGGGCCGUGGUGUUGGCCUUCGAGCUGUACUACCAUACCACCCAGGACCUGCAGCUAUUUCAAGAGGCUGGUGGCUGGGACGUGGUCAGGGCUGUGGCUGAGUUUUGGUGCAGUCGUGUUGAGUGGAUCCCCAGGGAGGAGGAGUACCACCUGAGGGGUGAGGGCCAUGGUGGGGAGGGGCUUGGGGAGGAAGGGUGGAUGCUCCCAGACUCAGCAGAUGAUUUUCAGACACCUCACAUGUGCCAGCCCCACGCUGACCACCGGCGUGGAGGGAAGGCCUCUGAGACUCUGCAUUGAGCACCAUCUUGGACUUGUGUUUCCAGGAGUCAUGUCCCCCGACGAGUACCAUUCAGGGGUCAACAACUCUGUGUACACAAACAUCCUGGUCCAGAACAGGUCAGACACAAGAUCCCCUCACCUCACCCCACCCCCGCCCCAGCUGGAGACCUGCUCCAGUGCCCCCACUAGGCAGGCAGCAGCUGGAAGCGUAGGGGUUACAGCCUCCCCCACCUACCUCCACCUCCAGCCUGCGCUUUGCUGCUGCCCUGGCCCAGGACCUGGGUCUGCCCAUCCCCAGCCAGUGGCUGGCGGUGGCUGACAAGAUCAAGGUACCCUUUGACGUGGAGCAGAACUUCCACCCGGAGUUCGAUGGGUAUGAGCCUGGAGAGGUGGUGAAGCAGGCAGACGUCGUGCUCCUGGGAUACCCCGUCCCCUUCUCCCUGAGUCCUGAAGUUCGCAGGAAAAACCUGGAGAUUUACGAGGCUGUGACGUCCCCCCAGGGCCCCGCCAUGACCUGGAGCAUGUUUGCUGUGGGCUGGAUGGAGCUGAAGGACGCAGCGCGGGCCCGGGGCCUCCUGGACAGGAGUUUUGCCAACAUGGCUGAACCCUUCAAGGUGUGGACAGAGAAUGCAGACGGGUCAGGUGCUGUGAACUUCCUGACAGGCAUGGGGGGCUUCCUGCAGGCGGUGGUCUUCGGGUGCACAGGGUUCAGGUAAGUGCAGAGGCUGGCAGAGGGCAGCCCACGCCCCCACCUGCCACCUCACAAACCUCUCCUCCCACAGGGUCACCCGAGCGGGUGUGACCUUUGAUCCUGUGUGUUUGUCGGGGAUCUCCAGAGUGAGCGUCUCCGGCAUCUUCUACCAGGGGAACAAGCUCAACUUCUCUUUUUCCGAGGACUCCGUGACCGUGGAGGUCACAGCUCGAGCGGGGCCUUGGGCUCCCCACCUGGAGGCUGAGCUGUGGCCGUCCCAGGCCCGGCUCUCCCUGUUGCCAGGACACAAGGUCUCCUUUCCCCGCUCGGCUGGCCGGAUACAAAGGUCACCCCCGAAGCUGCCUGGAAGUUCCAGCUCCGAGUUCCCUGGGAGAACUUUUUAAGGUGUUGGGGACCCACUCCAGAGCCCCCUCUGGGUCACCCUGGGUUCCUCCAGCCCCACUGAGUCACUCACUGUGGACCCUGCCUCUGAAUAAUCAGGAACGUUGGCUUCAGAGAUGUCUCUUGGGCUUUCCCUCUGGCCACUCCUUCUGCACCCACCCCUCCUAGGCACCCUCCUAGCCUGCCAUCCCUCGCCUGCAGCCAGGCUCUCAGGGAAGGUCCAUGCUGCUUGUGGUCACAGCGGCCGGCCGCUCUGCUGAGAAGGCAGAGAGGCAGGCGCAGGCCUCAGCGUGGACAGCAGGGAUAAGGGGCACGAAGGAUGGGGACUCGGCCCCUUCGGAAUUCCUCAGGACUCUCAGGUGCAGCUUUGCCGAAAAGGAACUUUUCAUGUCGUGCAGUUGAGGGGACUUAGUCUCAAUCCCAGGCUCCUCUUGACUCUGGGCAGCUUUAAUCAGGUUGGGCAGCCUCUGCUACAGCGUGGGGUGGGAUGGCUCUCUUUCCUCAGCCACGCAGCUUGUGAGGACAGAGGUUGGGGAGUGGGAAGUGGGAAGUCACCAGAGAACAGAAGAGGGAUUUGAGAGCGAGACCCCAGCGCUCUCCGGGGACCAGCCAGAGGGACUGGAGCCAGAUGUGCAUGGGUUCAAGGCCCUGGCCCUGCCCAGCCUCUGUCUUGGGGCCUCAGCCCCAGGGUUGGGUCGUCAGCAGUUUCCCAAGAACAAGAUGUGGUGACAUCUGCUGCUGAAACCCUGAUGAGGACCAGGCCCCCUGCACUGCUGUCAGCCUGAGGAAUUAAAGCUUUGGUGCUGGGAAGAGCAUU